GUCCCCUUCGUCUAGAGGCCUGCAGGGACACCGCCCUUUCACGGCGGUAACAGGGGUUCCGAAUCCCCUAGGGGACGCCA
rnacentral:tRNA from 1 species